ACGGCGAGUGAAGCGGCAACAGCUCAAAUUUGAAAUCUGGCCUCACGGUCCGAGUUGUAAUUUGCAGAGGAUGUCUCGGGCGCGAUACCGGUCUAAGUUCCUUGGAACAGGACGUCACAGAGGGUGAGAAUCCCGUACGUGACCGGUGGUCAACCCCAUGUGAGGCUCCUUCGACGAGUCGAGUUGUUUGGGAAUGCAGCUCUAAAUGGGUGGUAAAUUUCAUCUAAAGCUAAAUAUUGGCCAGAGACCGAUAGCGCACAAGUAGAGUGAUCGAAAGAUGAAAAGCACUUUGGAAAGAGAGUUAAAAAGUACGUGAAAUUGUUGAAAGGGAAGCGCUUGCAACCAGACUUGCCCGCGGGUGAUCAACCGUCCUUCGGGGCGGUGCACUCGCCCGCGAUCAGGCCAGUAUCGGUUUCAGCAGCCGGACAAAGACUUCGGGAACGUAGCUCCUCUCGGGGAGUGUUAUAGCCCGUCGUGUAAUACGGUUAGUUGGGACCGAGGACCGCGCUUCGGCUAGGAUACUGGCGUAAUGGUUGUCAGCGACCCGUCUUGAAACACGGACCAAGGAGUCUACCAUCUAUGCGAGUGUUUGGGUGUUAAACCCAUGCGCGUAAUGAAAGUGAACGGAGGUGGGAACCCUUCGGGGGGCACCAUCGACCGAUCCUGAUGUCUUCGGAUGGAUUUGAGUACGAGCAUAGCUGGUGGGACCCGAAAGAUGGUGAACUAUGCGUGAAUAGGGUGAAGCCAGAGGAAACUCUGGUGGAGGCUCGCAGCGGUUCUGACGUGCAAAUCGAUCGUCAAAUUUGCGUAUAG
rnacentral:rRNA from 1 species